UACGUAGGGGGCAAGCGUUGUCCGGAUUUAUUGGGCGUAAAGAGCGUGUAGGCGGUUUGGUAGGUCCGCUGUGAAAACUCGAGGCUCAACCUCGAGACGCCGGUGGAAACCAUCAGACUAGAGUCCGGAAGAGGAGAGUGGAAUUCCUGGUGUAGCGGUGAAAUGCGCAGAUAUCAGGAAGAACACCCGUGGCGAAGGCGGCUCUCUAGUACGGUACUGACGCUGAGGCGCGAAAGCGUGGGGAGCGAACAGG
rnacentral:rRNA from 1 species